GGGGUCUAUUAGAAGGAAUUGUCUAUAAUUUUUGUUAUUAUUGUCAAUAAAAAAAAAAAUUAUUUAUACUGUAUAAUUGCAUUAUUAAUAAAACAAUUUCUUUGAAAUUAAUUCAAAAAUAUUAUUUAAUUUUUUGUUAUUGACUUUUUUGUUUGACGUGCUGUGUUUUUUAAAAAUCCUACAUAUUAUUUUAGUAGAUUAUGAUUUGCGAAUGUUGGGAUCUAUAGUCUAUAUAAGUACCUACAUAGGUUAUAGAUACGUAGCGACGUAGCUAUUAUAGUUCAAUGGUAAUAUUUUUUAAUAAAUAAUCAUAUAUAUUGAAAUUUGAAAUGUUAUCAAACAUGGUAAAAUAACAUUUUCUUAGGUAGGUACCUAUACUUAGGAUAUUAAUUUAAAUUUUAUUAGGAUACGUGUGGCUACCAGAUUAACCUCUUGUUAAGUGUAAAGGCGGGUUUCCACUGACAAUAUACGUGUACGUGUACGUGUAUAAAAAUACUUUUCUGUGAUUGGUUGGUAUACAUGGUAAGCUUUUGGUAUACCAGAAAGUUUAUACGUUCCAAUCAAUCACAGAAAAGUAUUUUUAUGCACGUACACGUAAACGUAUGUAGUGGAAACCCGCAUUAACGGUUGAAUUUGAGCGAUAGCAGCAGUAACCAAUUUUAAAAUCUUAAAAAUGUGUUAUGUUAUAAUAAUAUUAAAUUAUAUUGUUUUAAAAGUAAAUUAAAGUGUACAUACACUAUAGAGGCGAGUCAAAUUAUAGUAAGUUAAUUUACCGUUAAAAUUAAGCGCUUACCAGUUACCUACCGUUCUUACAAGAGUAUUUUUCAUGAAGGACGUGUAUGUACAAGCGUACGUACGUGCGUGUUAAUAAACGUGCAUGUACACGAGAAUGGUUCAGUGGAAACCCACUUUAAUACCGAGAUACUCGACGAACGACUACCAGGGUAUAGGUUUGUUAUCGAAUUUUAGCGGUAAGGGAGUGGAAUAGCGACGUAAGCUAUAAAUAUAACUGCAAUGAUUUUUGAAGCGUUGAUUUGUAUUUUCCAGGUUUUACACUACUUGGAAAGUAAAUUUAAGUGAUCUUGUUGGUUGUUUGUUAUCGUUUCAAGAUUACGGAAUUCGCUGUUAUUGUCGUCUGCAAAAAGGGCAAUGUUGGUUCGUGAUGACUACAAUGGUUUGUUUAGUUCAGUGAGAGAAAAAUCAAAUGUGGAUUGUUGAUACUGAUAAAAUCUAACAUUAUACAUUUAUACAUCUAUUCUUGUAGUUCGAGAAUCUAUUUCCGAGGCAAUACUACCUUACAUACAUUACCGGAUGAACCGAUGAAGAUUCGUGUGAUGGGAUGUGACACUUCUCUUACGACAACAAUAUUUGACUUUCAAAAGCCAGUCGGUACU